rnacentral:ncRNA from 1 species
UUGCAGGUGCAAGUCCGAUCGAGGUAAGAGCCAGGUCGCCUGGAGCUACAGGCAGUUGGUGGAGAAAUCCUGGGGUCGAAGCCCUGUUACAAAGUAAACCAUUAGGCUACGAGCAAACAGGGAUUUUUCAUUUUUA